UACGGAGGAUCCAAGCGUUAUCCGGAUUUAUUGGGUUUAAAGGGUGCGUAGGCGGCCUAUUAAGUCAGGGGUGAAAGACGGUGGCUCAACCAUCGCAGUGCCUUUGAUACUGAUAGGCUUGAAUACACUAGAGGUAGGCGGAAUGUGACAAGUAGCGGUGAAAUGCAUAGAUAUGUCACAGAACACCGAUUGCGAAGGCAGCUUACUAUGGUGUCAUUGACGCUGAGGCACGAAAGCGUGGGGAUCAAACAGG
rnacentral:rRNA from 2 species